ACCUCCAGCUCGAACCCAGCCGAAGUAUCUUCAGAGAGCCUUCUUGUGAUGUUCUCAGCUUAGGGCCAUCCCUCCCUCAUUUCAUCCUCUGAAUCCGGCAAAUGCCUAGCAACUCUCCUAGGAAAUGUGCCUCCUAAAGCUGAAUGCAAAUGUGAAAAAAAAUAAUAGUGUGCAACAAUUAAGGAAUCCACACACCUUCUCUCAAGCCAGACCUGAGUCAUUUCUGACAAAUGUGAUGAGAAUACAACCAUCACCACUAAAAAACCCCCACAAAUACUCAGCUGAAAAGCCUCACUUUCUCCAGCUGCUGUCUCCAGAGCCACCUGAGAGUGGAAUGGAAAGGGAUUGAUCCAAUGGUGCUCAGAUGGGGGGGCUUCAGAACCACCUGGAAGGCUUGCUAAAACAGGUUUCUGGGCCCCACCCCAGAGUUUCUGAGCCAGUAAGCCUUAUGGCAAUCAUGUCAAACUCAAAGGCUAACACGGGCCAAAUAAAUGAGGCCUGCGGGCCGCGAGUUUGA